CCUACGGGAGGCAGCAGUGAGGAAUAUUGGGCAAUGGAGGCAACUCUGACCCAGCCAUGCCGCGUGCAGGAAGACUGCCCUAUGGGUUGUAAACUGCUUUUAUACGGGAAGAAACACCGCUACGUGUAGCGGCUUGACGGUACCGUAAGAAUAAGGAUCGGCUAACUCCGUGCCAGCAGCCGCGGUAAUACGGAGGAUCCAAGCGUUAUCCGGAAUCAUUGGGUUUAAAGGGUCCGUAGGUGGAUAAUUAAGUCAGAGGUGAAAUCCUGCAGCUCAACUGUAGAAUUGCCUUUGAUACUGGUUGUCUUGAGUCAUUGUGAAGUAGUUAGAAUAUGUAGUGUAGCGGUGAAAUGCAUAGAUAUUACAUAGAAUACCGAUUGCGAAGGCAGAUUACUAACAAUGUACUGACACUGAUGGACGAAAGCGUGGGGAGCGAACAGGAUUAGAUACCCUGGUAGUCCACGCCGUAAACGAUGGUCACUAGCUGUUCGGACUUCGGUCUGAGUGGCUAAGCGAAAGUGAUAAGUGACCCACCUGGGGAGUACGUUCGCAAGAAUGAAACUCAAAGGAAUUGACGG
rnacentral:rRNA from 1 species